GGUUGCUCGGCCUUUUCGCAUCCUGCGGUGCUGGGGGUCUGUGCGGUCAUUGCGGCUCCGCUGUUCAACAUGUAUCAGCUACACUCUUCCUUCUUCUGGCUUCAGUGCAGAUUUGCCACCAAAUGUGGAGACUUAAAACUACUUCUUCCCAAGGAUUUGAAUCCUGCACUUCAGAUGUAUGCAGAAGGAACGUCACCUAAGAAGGCGCUGGGAGAUUAAACUAAGCUGUUACAAGGCUGCCCUGGACAGAGGAGCCCCAUGCCUCUUGUGUAAGAAACGAUUUCACCUGUUUCUAAUAUUGGUGAAGACAAGGCCUUCCUAAUGAAAGCACACUCUGGAGUUGAGGAAUGAGCAUCUCAGUGUUGAAGAGUGCUGGGAAAUGGAUUUACAACCUGCCUUCGGAAGGGGAUGGGAGUGUUGCAGCCUACUGUAAAUGAUGUUGAAUCAGGCUUCCAGAUGUUUCUCAUCGUGAGGUGUGAUGGAGCUGGGAAGUGAUGCACCUGGUUCUGCUGCCAGCAAAAGGUGAAGCUUGCAUGGAAUUAAAGGAACAAGACGGAUGUGUCUGAGGAAGGGACUGUGCUGUCUGCAGCUCACUGGGUGAAGAGGCAGCUCUGAAACUAGCAUAUGAAGAAUUGAGGAGGUUAGUGUAACUGCUGUAAUAAUGUAUUUGGUGGAACAAGUGAUGAAACCUUAGCUUGAACUCUCUCACUGAACAGAGAUGAAAUUCUAAGGUCUGAGAUGUUCCCAUCAAGCUUCUUGUGCUGGUUUGGUACCUUAUAAUGGUUCUUAUGUUUGUCUUAAUAGGUGGAAGGUUGCUGAUGAAUGGGUUACACUUGCAUGAACAACAUUAAAAAAGCUGAUGUGUUUUUACUUCACUGGUAAUGUUUGCCUGAUGCUUAUUGGAGCCAAUAAAAAUCUGCAAACUCUACCUGAU